AGGAUUAACGCUGGCGGCGUGCCUAACACAUGCAAGUCGAACGAGGUAGCAAUACCUAGUGGCAGACGGGUGAGUAACGCGUGGUCAACCUACCGUUGAGUGGGGGAUAACUAGCCGAAAGGUUAGCUAAUACCGCAUACGAGUCUCGGGGGCAUCCCUGGGCCUUAAAAGGAGCAAUCCGCUCGAUGACGGGACCGCGUCCCAUUAGCUAGAUGGUGGGGUAAUGGCCUACCAUGGCUCCGAUGGGUAGCUGGUUUGAGAGAGCGACCAGCCACACUGGGACUGAGAAACGGCCCAGACUCCUACGGGAGGCAGCAGUGAGGAUUUUCCGCAAUGGGCGAAAGCCUGACGGAGCGACGCCGCGUGUGGGAAGAAGGCCUUCGGGUCGUAAACCACUGUCGAGGGGACGAUAAUGACGGUACCCUUGGAGGAAGCCCGGCUAACUACGUGCCAGCAGCCGC
rnacentral:rRNA from 1 species